GACGAACGCUGGCGGCGUGCUUAACACAUGCAAGUCGAACGAGACCCCCGCUUCGGUGGGGUGUUCUAGUGGCGAACGGGUGAGUAACACGUGGGCAACCUGCCCCCGGCUCUGGGAUAACUCCAAGAAAUUGGGGCUAAUACCGGAUAUGACCGCUGACCGCAUGGUCUGGUGGUGGAAAGAUUUAUCGGCUGGGGAUGGGCCCGCGGCCUAUCAGCUUGUUGGUGGGGUAGUGGCCUACCAAGGCGACGACGGGUAGCCGGCCUGAGAGGGUGACCGGCCACACUGGGACUGAGACACGGCCCAGACUCCUACGGGAGGCAGCAGUGGGGAAUAUUGCGCAAUGGGCGGAAGCCUGACGCAGCGACGCCGCGUGGGGGAUGACGGCCUUCGGGUUGUAAACCUCUUUCAGCAGGGACGAAGCCGCAAGGUGACGGUACCUGCAGAAGAAGCACCGGCCAACUACGUGCCAGCCGCCGCCGUAA
rnacentral:rRNA from 1 species